rnacentral:lncRNA from 1 species
GAUUCAGCAGUCAGACUGGGGAGGUCCACAUUAAUUGCUCUCACUAAAUGAACCCCCCCCCCCCCCUCCUCUCCACACAGACGCCGCCGUUGCCUCUUGAUGAAAUUCUGGAGCGGGUUCCCCUUCUGCACCACCCCGUGUGUUCCUCACAGCCACAAUCCACAAUCCCGUCAUCAGUCAAGUCGCGCACUUCCUCCCUUUUCUCAACCUUCACAGCGAACCUGAACAGGACUGUUGAACAGGACGGAGUUUGGACAUGA